GAAAAUCCUUGGUAGGGGGAACCUGGAAUAUUAUUUCUUUCACAGAGUCUGAGUACUAUCCCAGAUUAUAAAUUCGUGUUCCUCCUUUGUUUUCCCUGGUACUUACUACAAGACAAAUAAAAUAUGCAACUUUUAUUCUUGCUUUAUUCUUCCCUAUAAAUAUUUGAUUAGGCCACAAUGUAUUGUGCUAAUAAGCCUUACUAGCUUAUAAGGACUUGUUUUUCAGGUCAUCCUCUAAGAAGGCCUAACCACAUCCAAGGGAGUGCUGUAGCCAGACAUCAGAUCCAAAGAAGAAAAACGUGCCUGGUCUGAGAAGGACAGCUCUCAGCUUUCUAAGCUUAAAAAGGAGGGGACGGGAACCUUCACCACAGCAGAAUCACCACUGGUUGCAUGUGAAAGGUACCCAGCAUAGACACUGUAUUUAAAAAUGAUUAUCCCAGAAGUAGACCAAAGCAACUGUGUUUUGGUCUGGAGUAGGCUUAUACAGUAUUCGGAUUCAGCAAGGCUAGGAUUUUAAAUCUCAGAAACUCUUUUUCACAGUUUCCAUGGCAUUUUUGUUUCAAUUAAGUCAGAAUGAGAUCCUAGUUUCCUUGGCUGUGGGAAAUAAUCUGAAGUCAAAAUAAAUGUUUUAGAGGCACCAACUGAAAUCAAGGGGUAAUUCAGAAGAAUGUGUCAAGAUAUUGCCCAUCUCAGUAGUAUGUUUUCUGCUGCUGCUUGUGCAGAAUGUGUCUAGUAAACAUUGCAACAGCUGCAGCUGAGCUGUUGGUUUUGUUUGCCCCACGUGUUGCAGACUGCCGUGGAAGAUCUGUGGUUUGGAGCCAGGUGUCCCGUGCUCGAGCUCGUGGGAGCGCACUCCUGUUACCACCGGCGAUAAGGAGCGGGGAUAAGGAAGCUGAAGGGAGAUGACAGAGUGAUUACCUGGGCGACUUGCCUGUCUCCAUGACUGCUGCAGACAGAAUUCCUACUCACAAGAGAGGAGACAUAGGGAGAAGGUCGACCUUCUCCCAUGGCAGAUGGGUACCACUGGGAAUCCUGUUAUAAACAAAGAGUGCAGAUUACUUUGCUCUUUUCCAGGUAAGCUAUCCCAACAUCUCCAACCCAAAUGUUUAUCAAUCGCUGAAAUACAGCAGCAUCUGAGUAUUCCUCACUUUAUUUUUUUAUUUUUAUUUUUUCAGGAUUAUGUGGGCUAAAUUGUGGCAGCAAACAGAUGCUCUGAGACAUAAACUUUGUGCUAAGUAUUUGCACAGUGUAAGUUUAGGAUAGAGACAGAUGAUUCCUCCUGGAAUACCUGUGAUGAUUUCAGAGGUGAUUGCUCCCCCAGGUGGAGGAAAAAUGAGGUCUCUUCUUCCACUUCAGGGCAAGUAAGACAGGGUAGGUUAAACUGGCUUCUAGUGAAUAUUAAAUAAAUCUGGCAGCUGGCACA
rnacentral:lncRNA from 1 species